rnacentral:rRNA from 1 species
UACGUAGGGUGCAAGCGUUGUCCGGAAUUAUUGGGCGUAAAGAGCUCGUAGGCGGUCUGUCGCGUCUGCUGUGAAAACUCAGGGCUUAACCCUGAGCUUGCAGUGGGUACGGGCAGACUAGAGUGCGGUAGGGGAGACUGGAAUUCCUGGUGUAGCGGUGAAAUGCGCAGAUAUCAGGAGGAACACCGGUGGCGAAGGCGGGUCUCUGGGCCGAUACUGACGCUAAGGAGCGAAAGCGUGGGGAGCGAACAGG